CCUACGGGGGGCAGCAGUGGGGAAUCUUGCGCAAUGGGCGAAAGCCUGACGCAGCCAUGCCGCGUGAAUGAUGAAGGUCUUAGGAUUGUAAAAUUCUUUCACCGGGGACGAUAAUGACGGUACCCGGAGAAGAAGCCCCGGCUAACUUCGUGCCAGCAGCCGCGGUAAUACGAAGGGGGCUAGCGUUGCUCGGAAUUACUGGGCGUAAAGGGAGCGUAGGCGGAUAGUUUAGUCAGAGGUGAAAGCCCAGGGCUCAACCUUGGAAUUGCCUUUGAUACUGGCUAUCUUGAGUACGGAAGAGGUAUGUGGAACUCCGAGUGUAGAGGUGAAAUUCGUAGAUAUUCGGAAGAACACCAGUGGCGAAGGCGACAUACUGGUCCGUUACUGACGCUGAGGCUCGAAAGCGUGGGGAGCAAACAGGAUUAGAUACCCUGGUAGUCCCACGCUGUAACGAUAGAGUGCUAGUUGUCGGUCGAUGCAUGCAUGUCGGUGACGCAGCUACGACAUAAGACACUCCGCCGUCGGGAGGUACGGUCGCGAGAGUUAAACUAACGUAAGAAGUUAGAGCGUUGAGACGNGCCGACGGCGACGACGAGGGAGAGG
rnacentral:rRNA from 1 species